GUAACAAGGUUUCCGUAGGUGAACCUGCGGAAGGAUCAUUAUUGAAUUACCGGGGGCUGGAUGCUGGCAGUCUAUGAUUGCAUGUGCUCGCUCUCUUUAAAUCCACUUACACAUGUGCACUCAAUUUUGAAGACAGGGUAAAGCCUGUCUUUGAAACCUUAUAAACUCUUACUCGAUUGUAAUGAAUGUUUUUAUCUGCCGAAAGGCAAAAUUUAAUACAACUUUUAACAACGGAUCUCUUGGCUCUCGCAUCGAUGAAGAACGCAGCGAAAUGCGAUAAGUAAUGUGAAUUGCAGAAUUCAGUGAAUCAUCGAAUCUUUGAACGCACCUUGCACUCUCUGGUAUUCCGGAGAGUACGCCUGUUCGAGUGUUGUGAAACUCUCAAGCAGAGAUAGCUUUGUUGCUGUUUUUGCUUGGAUUUGGACUUUGCUGUGUCAAUGCGGCUGGUCUUAAAUGUAUUAGCUGAUCCUUAUGUGGUUUGGUUCUACUCAGCGUGAUAAUUAUCUAGCGUUGAGGACAGUCUUAGGACUGGCCAGAGCUUAUAUUUGGAUUGCUUCUAAUUGUCCUUUGGACAUUAUUAUUCAAUUGUCUGACCUCGGAUCAGGUGGGAUUACCCGCUGAACUUAAGCACUUCAAUAAGCGGAGGAAAAGAAACUAACAAGGAUUCCCCUAGUAACGGCGAGUGAAGCGGGAUGAGCUCAAAUUUAAAAUCU
rnacentral:rRNA from 1 species